ensembl:lncRNA
CUCAGAACCUAUUGGGUUCACAAGCAGAAUGUUGUCCAGGCUGUUCAGUGUAUUUCUGACGGAGAAUCAAACACAUGCAAAGACCAGUCCAAGCCUUCUCUCGGGAUGUACAAAGAGAAGGAAGAAAUAGCCCUGGGAUUCUACAAUUGAGAAUUCUUACCUAAGAAAAGGAGAAUAAUCUUCACAGGUUUAAGUUGGAGCCUGGACUGUGGCAGAGGUUCCUGAAAUCUUCUCGGCAAGCUAGUCUAUUCCUUCAAGAUCACACAGGGAGCUCAAGUCGAUCAGAUCCCUCCUUUUGUUUGCUGGCUCUGCUGUCCCUGUGUCCAUAAUAAUAAGCUUAAUCAGUACCAAAUGGAUCCAGUACCAAGGAGCAAGGAUGUGUCAUGUCCUAGCCUGGGGUUGUUCAGGAUCCAGUCAUAAUUCAUAUAAUCCUUGAAUCCUUAGUUCAGAAAGUUAUUUGAUCCUUGGACAAUGCCCUACAACAGAAUGAAUUUUGGGUCCAAAAUAUUCAUGAUGCAACACCAGCAAGUGAUGAUUGACCUACAGAAAAUGUGCUGACAGAUCAAUAAAAGGUGGUACAAAUCUAAUCAACUCAUAUGAGAAAAUCAGUGUUACUGGUGAAUAACUUACAGGAUUUUGACACCAGUACUAGUCACCGAAUGUGACAGCCCAUUCGUGUCUUUGAACUAAAGUGGAGAUCAGGUUCUAUACUGUUUGACGUGUACCAGGAAGCCUGGCUCUAAGGCAUGGUCUAGGAAUUUUACCUGUUUUAGUUAGUUUGACCAAAUGUAGAGGGGCUCUGAAUUUCUCCAAUCAUUGUCCUUCCCAACUUGGGAUCCUAUAGAUAGAAAAUGUGUGCCCCAUGAUGGAGUUAUCAAUCAAUUUUGAUGCUCUGGGGACCUGACUAACUAUAUAUAUAUAUAUAUUAUGUCCUCUUUUGGGACAAAUUUGAAUCCUUGGUAUUAGGCUUUUGAGAAGUACCCUGUGUCUUCAGGAAUUUGCUCCAUGGCUAACAUGGACUUGGACUACAGUCUGGGACUGUGUUUGGGUCAGGGCCUUAGACUGAGUAAUGUACUUUGAGAGUGGGAGAAAAAUGUAUCCUUGCUGGGAUUCACAAUUUUUUGUUUUUGGCUCAGCCUCAGGCACUGCCUGCUCCUAAGUGAGGCUAUUCCGAUGAAGCACAGUAUAAAGAGAGCAUGGGAUGAGAACAGAGAGCUUCUGUGGGAUCAGUUUGCACUGGAAGCAUCCAUUAAGGAAACAACCUGGUUCUGUGUGGAAGUCAAUAUGAAAAUCUAUGAUGUAUGUUCCAGGGAGGAUCAGGUAUGAUGAAUGAAGCAUCUGGGGUAGGUUUUCCUGUAAUCUAACAAAAAACCAAGUCAAACCAAUUCAACCAUUCUCCAACUUAUCCAGACACUCUUAUGUCACAUCAAGCUGUUCAUAUCUUUGAUCAUUUCCAAAACUUUCUCUGGUGUUAGCCUCAUGGAAGAAACUGGAGGAUUGACAGCCAAAUCCUCCUCAUCAACUGUAUACUACAUUUACUUAGGAGAGAUACAAUGAUCACACAUUGCGCACUUACAUGCCAUUAUGCUAGAGGCAUGCUAUGUGCUAGCAUAAUUUGUAGUGCACAGAAUUGAUUAAAGCCUAGUGAAAUUGCCUAAAGAAUGGUUAUCAUUUUCCAUUUGAUAGGGCUUCUGUCCUCUCAUGUCUUUUCCCCCUACAUUGCAAGAUGGUCCUUUCUGUGUACGAAGAUCCUGGUUCAUAGUGAUAGAGCUUGAGAAGCAGCCUGUCAGUCCUGUUUUAUGUAAGUGUUCUAGAGUUCUUUCCUAUAGCUUAUAUCCUGGAGCUGACUGGAUGAGGAGG